GGUUCCAUAGUGUAGUGGUUAGUGCUCUGGACUCACACUCCAGCGACCUGGGUUCAAAUCCCGGUGAGACCU